UUAUGAGCAGGGAAAGGAACCAGAGCUCACUCUUUCUCUCCCUGCCAUGUGCAGACAUCGUGAGAAGGUGGCCAUGUGUAAGCCUGGAAGAGAGCCCUCACCAAAAACUGACUCCGCAAGACCUUGGUCUGGGACUCCUGGCCUCCAGAACUGCAGGCAAUUAAAUACCUGUUGAUGAAGGCAUACAGUCUGUGGCAUUUUGUUAUGGCAGCUCUCGAAGACUCCAUCAUGAUGGAAAGGAGAGGCUACUAGGCCUGAAGCAGGCUUGCACAGGAUGGACUGAGGGCUCUGAAGGGCCUCACAGUAGAGUCCACACAGAAUCUCACUAUUCUUCCAAAGUAGAAGUGGUAACAUUUACUCUUUUCUUUUGAUGUCCUUGGCACAAACCAAGACAACAGUAGAGUGAUCCCCAAAUUCAAUACAAUUCCCAGGCAGGGAUAGAUACCCAAGACCAUUACGAUCAUUCCAAUUCAAAACUCUUUUCUCAGACUGAAAGAUUUAGCCGCUAUUGUUCAGGUAAUGGUGCUGUUUCCUUACUUGUGGGGUGUGGGGGAAUUACUAAUGAAUAGAAUCACAUUUUUGCAAUGAGAAAUUGAAAUGUUUUUCUCCCAUAGAUUAGCAAAAAACAAAACACCUCUAUUGGUGCCCACUUAUACCAAGCAUUAUUCACGUGGUUGUUUUAAUCCUAAUGUGUUAAAUUGUAUCAGGGCCGGUAAAGAUCAUCAGGACUCAUAUAUAUUCAACCAAUCUAAACAGAUUUAUGAAUCAUUUCAGAGUGCUUAUUUGAUUGUCUUUCUCUAUCAAACCAGUCAAUUCCCUUCAAUGAGAUAAAUAGCAAUGGGAAUUUCUGAUGUAUGGACGUCAUGUUUGGGAGGAGAGGGGAGUGGUUGGGGCGGGUGAUCUAUUUUCUGACCAAACUGGAAAAUCUGCUUUUCAGAAGUUUCCUCCUGACUCCUCCCACCCCCACUCCCCACAUCAAGGGAGGGCAGAGA